CAUUGUAUGGGUGUAUCACAGUUUUUUUAAACCGUUCAUCCAUCGAAGGGCCUCUUGGUUGCUUGUCAAUUAUGACUAGAACUGCUGUAAACGUUUGUGUGCAGGUACCUGUUCUUCAAAUGUUGGACAUCCCCUGUGGAGCUGAUGGUUGCCUUUCCACUGUGGGGUCAUGCACACAGGCCUGCCCGGUGUCUACCCAGGGCACUGUUGUUGUUGCUGUUAGGUGCCAGCGAGUCAAUGCACUGCACUCCACUGCAAAUUUCACUCAACCUGGGCUUCCUGUUUCUGAGUUCUGGCCCAGCUUCAUCUUGGGCAAGGUACCCUUGCUCCCUGCACUUCGUGGUAUUUAUUAUAAAAUGCACAUGCUUCUCAUAGCCCUCACAGAAAAGACUGGGACAGGGUGGAGAGGCCUGAGUUUGUGGAUGGGGGGUAUGCCCGAAAGAAGAACUUGAGUGACACAAUUUGAAGACUGGAUAGUAGAGUGUUACAUAGUGCAGGAUGUUUAGGGUUAGCAGGAGCCUCCGGCCACUGGGGUUCUGGCUCCUAUGUAAUUUUCCUUUUUAAAAUAGGUUGGAGGGUAGCACUUGCUCAAUCAAUGCCAUUCACCGUACCACCAGAGUAAAGGAGAAAAAUCAUAUUGUUUUGACAUAUGCAGAAAAACCAUUUGAAAAAAUUCAACACCUAUUCAUCAUAAAAACUUGGCUGAAAUGAGAAGGGCCACUAAUAUCAGAGACACCGUGAACGCACCACUACAGGCUAAUCAGUGGGUGAUUCUCAAACUUUUUAGUCCCAGGACCUUCUUACAAUCUUUGCAGAUGCUGAAGAGUUUCAUUUCUGUGGAGUUUCUCUACCGAAAAUUGCCAUAUUUGUAAUUAGAACUGAGAAAUUUUAAAAUAUAUUUCUUUACCUUAAAAUAACAAUAAACGUAUAACAACAUGUUAACAUUAAUCACAUGUUUUAAUGAAAAGAAAAAUGUCCAAAGCAAACAUAUGGAAUGAGAUUGGUUUACGUUUUGAACAUCUCUUUAGUAUCUGGUUUACCAGAAGACAGGCAGAUCCUCCUCUCUGAUUCAGCAUUCAGCCUGUUGUGAUAUGUUGUUUUGGUUGAAGUAUAUGAAGAAAGUCUGAAUUCGUUCAGAUGUGUAGUUGAAACGGUGGACCUCAUGAAUCUGCUGAGAAACUUGGGAACCCCCAGGGCCCCUCAGGCUACACUUUGAGGGCCACCAACCGAGAGUUAUAAAUGCCACCUGGUCACUUUAGACGCCUCAUGGUGGUAAACACACAGACAGAGUGGAGUUACUACAGUAGGAGUUGUAAUUGGCCCUGAUUACCUUAAAACCAAAAACCAAACCCACUGCCAUCGAGUCCAACUCAUAGCGACCCUACAGGACAGAGUAGAACUGCCCAGUAGUUUCCAAGGAGCACCUGGUGGAUUUAAACUGCUGACCUUUAUGGUUAGCAGCUGUAGCUCUUAACUGCUAUGCCACCAGGGUUUCCCUGAUUACCUUAGGAGGCAGGAUUGCCAAUGCAUAAGGAGGGCAGGGAAUAGAACACCUGGAACCCAGGGAAUUCACCAGGGCACUUCUGGUUGAUUUCAUACAUGAUAGUAAUCAUGACCAGGCAAUUGGAGUAAUCUCAAUUUGACAAGAGCAUGGCAACCAGGACCUCAACUCCUCAGGAAUGAAGGUCUAAAUUACUACACCAAGAAAGCAACCUGACCAGCAGAACAGGUUAACAGGUGUGUGGUGUAAAGGCUUAAAAUUCAGGCCUGGUAUUAUGUGUGGUACCAUCACAUCUGGGGGAAACCAGGUGGGCCUCCAAUGGCCUCAGUGUAAGUUCUCCUCCUUACUCUGCUCCCUCAGAUACAAUCCCCUAAUGAAACAACCCUGCUAAUCAAAAGACCCAGGUGCUCUUCCUGCUUAUCUCUGCCACUCCAUGGAAUUACUCACACAAGCCAAUCACAGCCUCCGGCAGGGGUCACAGCACCGUCUAUUAUGAUAAAGCCUGCCUCCCGCAGUCCCCGGCUAUUCCCUCUGUUUCUGUUCGCAACUCCUUGUGGUGGGCGGUGUUCCUCUCCCUUGGUCUGUGAGUGUGUGUGACUAAGAAACUGUGGUCAGUCUCAUCUGUCCAGGGUUGGGUGUCAUACAUAUAGUCAUCCCUGUAACCCUAGGGCAGCGAUCCCUCCCUCACCAACGUGAUGGGUGUUGUUAGUGUUAGCUUCCGUCCAGUUGGCCCUCAACUCAGGGUGACCCCAGUGCACCAUGGAACAGAACCAAGCACUGCCUGGUUGCAUCGUGAUCUAUAAAAAAGGAGAUUAUUAGACCUUCCUUCCUAGUCCAUUUCAGUUGGAAGCUCUGCUGAAACCUCUUCAACAGUGUAACACCACCCAAGCCUCCUCUGACAGCUUGGUUUUGCCUACUACUUAAGUGAAGUUUCAAGUGAGAUUUAUAUCCUUCUGGGGCCAAGUGUGGUGGCAGCUCCAGUGUCUGACUUCAGAGAACCUCAUGCAGAAGGUGAGGCCCUGGGGCAUAGGGUUGGGGCUGCUUUAUUAGCCCCCACCUCUCUCAGACUAGGAAACCCUGGUGGCGUAGUAGUUAGGAGGCACGUCUGCUAACCAAAAGGUCGGCAGUUCAAAUCUACCAGGUGCUCCUUGGAAACCAUAUGGGCAGUUAUACUUUGUCCUAUAGAGUCAACUAUGAGUUGGAAUCAGCUCGACGGCAACGGUUUCCCUUAGACUAAACAGCUUUCUUUCUGGGCUAACCAUUGAAAGUUUAGGGUUUUCUUUAACUAAGAGAAGCAGGUUUCCCAACCAGCUUCCUAGGUGCUUCUAUUAAGGAUUUUAAGCAAGCAAAAAAAAAACAUAAAAUUUUUUUUUCUUUUUUUCAUUGCAAUUAAAAAACUCCAAGUAAGUUGAAUUAAAGAGUAAGGACACAAAGAAAUUAAUAAUUAAGGUGGGUUUCAAGAAUGGCUGAUUUAGUGACUCAGUGAUGCUUUCAAAUACUCAAAUAUUUUCCAUCUGCCUCUCUCUGACACUCACAGCUUUUCAUUCAACCUAGAUUGAUUGGUUCCUCUUAGGGGGUGAUAUAAUCCCUUAUAAGGUGGCUAUAAGAUGGCUGCCACUAGGGGUUAGAGUACGUCUUAGUCAUCUAGUGCUGCUAUAGCAGAAAUACCACAAGCGGAUCAUCUUAACAGAGAGAAUUUUAUUCUCUCACAGUCCAGUAGCCUAGAAGUCCAAAUUCAGAGUACCGGCUCCAAGGUAAGGCUUUCUCUCUAGGCUUUCUUUCUCUGUUAGCUCUGGAGGAAGGUCCUUGUGAUGCAUCAGUUUUCCCUUGGUCUGGGGGCAUCUCAGUGCAGGAACCCCAGGUCCAAAAGAUGUGCUCUGCUCCUGGCACUGCUUUCUUUGUGGCAUGAGGUCCCAAUGUCUCUCUGUUCUCUUCUGUCUUUUAUAUCUCAAAAGAGAUUGGCUUAAGACACUACUUAAUCUUGUAGACCUCAUCAAUAUAAUUGCUGCUAAUCCAUUUUAUUACAUCAUAGUGAUAGAAUUGACAACAUAUAGGGAAAUCACAUCAGAAGAUAAAAUGGUAGCGAAUCAUACAGGGGAAUCAUGACCUAGCCAAGUCAACAGAUAUUUUAGGGGACACAAUUCAACCCAUGACAAGUCGCUAGGCAUCUUUAUUCAUGUUCAGCAGGAGGGAGAGCUGUUAUCUCUCCCAAACAUUCCUUGUGUCCGAUGGGGCUGAUGUAGGUCACAUGCCACCAGCCCUGGACCAGUAGCUGUCUGUCACAGGGGGAUUGUUGUUGUUGUUGUUAGGUGCCGUCCAGUCAGUUCUGACUCAUAGCAACCCUAUGCCCAACAGAACGAAACACUGCCUGGUUCUGCGCCAUCCUUACAAUCAUUGUUAUGCUUGAGCUCAUUGUUGCAGCCGCUGUGUCAAUCCACCUCCUUGAGGGUCUUCCUCUUUUCCACUGACCCUGUACUCUGCCAAGCAUGAUAUCCUUCUCCAGGGACUCAUCCCUCCUGACAACAUGUCCAAAGUAUGUAAGACGCAGUUUCGCCAUCCUUGCCUCUAAGGAGCAUUCUGUCUGUACUUCUUCUAGGACAGAUUUGUUCGUUCUUCUGACAGUCCAUGGUAUAUUCAAUAUUCUUCUCCAACACCACAAUUCAAAGGCAACAAUUCUUCUUCGGUCUUCCUUAUUCCUUAUUCAGCUUUCACAUGCAUGUGAGGAGAUUGAAAAUACCACGGCUUGGGGCAGGCGCACCUUAGUCUUCAAGGUGACAUCUUCGCUUUUCAACGCUUUGAAGAGGUUCUUUGCAGCAGAUUUACCCAAUGCAAUGCGUCUUUUGAUUUCUUGACUGCUGCUUCCAAGGAUGUUGAUUGUGGAUCCAAGUAAAAUGAAAUCCUUGACAACUUCAAUCUUUUCUCCGUUCAUCAUGAUGUUGCUCAUUGGUCCAGUUGUGAGGAUUUUUGUUCUCUUUAUGUUGAGGUGUAAUCCAUACUGAAGGUUGUGGUCUUUGAUCUUCGCUAGUAAGUGCUUCAAGUCUUCUUCACUUUCAGCAAGCAAGGUUGUGUCAUCUGCAUAAUGCAGGUUGUUAAUGAAUCUUCCUCCAGUCCUGAUGCCCCAUUCUUCUUCAGAUAGUCCAGCUUCUUGUAUUACUUGCUCAGCAUAUGGGUUGAAUAGGUAUGGUGAAAGAAUACAACCCUGAAGGACACCUUUCCUGACUUUAAACUGAUCAGUACCCACUUGUUCUGUCUGAACAACUGUCUCUUAUGUAAAGGUUCCUCAUGAGCACAAAUUAAGUGUUCUGGAAUUCCCAUUCUUCACAGUGUUAUCCAGAGGGAAUACCAUGGACUAACUGGCUUAAGCCUAGGUUUCGUGGCAAUCUCUGACAGUGAGGAUGGGAAUACCGUGCUUAGAUCAGUAAGAAACUACCCCCGAACUGAGAAUAGGGCCAGCUUCCUCUGAGUAACAUGAGCUCCAAGGAAAGAAAUUGCGGGUACCUAAAAACUACCUGGGAUCUGUUCGGAGAAGGUGGAAGAGGGGGCGGAUACUAGAGAGGCAAUGACUGGCCCACUAUACUCAUGUUACAGACCUUUUCACUUAAAAGUCACCGCCCAAGUGCAGUUGGAGGGCACCUCCCUUGACUCAUCUAACUGUCCAAAGGGCUCCUUGGGCUUACAGUAUUUUGGGAUAUAGUGGCAAGGUGACCCAUACGGUGCCACUGCAAAUAGCAGGAUAAAGUUCUGUGGUUGUCGUGUCGUGUCCAGUGGGCAGUCAACUUAGUGGGGCCUUAGGGAGCUAAAUUCCCGCUGAGUCCCCAGGUGCAGAUUUGGGGAUGACUUUCAUUUGUUUGAACACUGGGUGGUAGAUGGCGAAGACUGAUUCUCUUCCUCUUUGGGCCUAGUUUCUAAUUACUCACCCUGUACUUCCCGAGAAAUACCCCUUUAACCCACCCUUCCUUCUUUUCCCCAGACAACUCUCCUCAUCCAGUAUCUCUCUCUUCUCUUGCCCACUGCCCCCCAGGUUCUAGUACUCUCCAGAGCUCCAGCCCUAGGCCUCUAUCCGUCAAGCCCCAAACCAUCCUCUGUUUACUUUUCUUUCUUGCCGUAAUCUUUGAUAGUUACGAAAUCCAGCAUCUGGGUCACUACCAACUAAAAACUAGUUCCUCUUUCUGGGCUGGGCUGCCUUAGCCAUCAGACACUUCCUGAGAGGGAGGAGAAAUGUUUGCCUUCCCUCCUGGGAAUGGGGAGUGAUGGGAAAAGCUCCUUCCCUCCUAGAAUAGGACGAAUCACUCCUUCUAAUUCAGCAAGGCAAAGACAAACAGAAAACAGGUAGUGACGUUUCCAUAUUAAAACAGGUGAGAGAUUAUGGACCUGUGCAUAGCGCUGGAUGCGGUGACGUUCUCAGUCCUGGUCAGUGUUAGGUACUGAGCCUGGGACCAGACUCUGAUGAGCUCUUGAGGACCUGCAGACUGAUGGUGCAGGACUGAUACUGAGAAGGUGGGACAUUCUCCCACAUUCUCUCCAGACACACAGAAUCCACAGGAGGGUCCUGAGAAAACAGGAGCUGGCCAAGCCACUGGAUAGAAGGAGAUGGACAUAAAGGCCACACAGUGACUGUCCUGUUAGGCUGUGGCAUGAGCAGAGGCCCUUCGCAGAGCUCCACAAGCUUUUUUCAUCUUGAAAUAAUACUAAAAACUUGUACGCUCACUUUCCAACCUUUGAUGCUGCAUUGUCACAGUUCAUUGGACUACUGCUGAAUACCCAAUGGGGCGAGAGUGGUCACAAAGAGCAUGAUACAAAUACAAGAAAGAUGAGGAGGCCUCAGGGAUGGACUUAUUCAUAUAUGGAUUGGGCAAGUACCUGACUUCAGAAGCCCUAACUGCCUACCAAUAUAUCUCCAAUUAAUCUUUGGCUGUCUUUGCCAUAAAAAUGCCCGGCAACAGAUUUGAAGGAAGACCACAAAGACAUAGAGAGGAGACAUGAGAAUAUAUCCUUUUGAUAGUCUUAUUUCUUUUUUUAAUUGGGUUUACAUAAAUAUUUUGCACUGCAGGAGUAGCAAUGGGAAUUGAAAUUUCUACAAUAGGUUUCAUGUGAUGUCAAUAUUGGAUUACUGUUUGAGAGUGAUGGUUCAAUCCAAGGACGAUUAGAUGUUGCUAAUCUGUCAUGUUUUUAAAAGAUCUCUUUAAAUCCCUAUCACAUUCAUAGGGAUAUGCUGUGGAUGUCAAGAAGGGCUCAUGGGAAUAGUGUUACCCUUCACCCUUAGGUCUUUUGUUUUCAUCCAACACACUUUGUCAAUGGCUAAUAUCUGUGUUUAGUAAUUGAGGUCUACAUAAAACCAAAGAGAAAUCCGUAAUGGAUAAAGCCACAGUAAUCAUCAAAGAUGCUAAUUAGAUGGUGGGUAGUAAAGUUAGAUUAAGGUAAAUUGGCAAAGCAUGAGUAAACGCGACUUCCACUGCUAGUGUAUAAUAGCAGUAUAUUUCCUUGACUUUUCCAUUUCAACAUGCAUUUGGGAAACCAGACCUGAAAUUAUUUCCUCUGAAAGCUAGGGUGCUUCAACAUGAUUUCUAAGUGGGAGAUUCACAUAAAGAGAAAGCAGAAGAUUUGAACAAUUCAAUGAUAAUUUUUUUACUUAAAUUUUCAUAGAUUUAAAAAUAAAGCAUGCUUAGAAAGAAAAGCAGCUAUGUCUUCAUUGGUUAAACUCAGGUCAUAGUAAUACCUACCUCCUCUGGUUACCCAGUUACCCAUGUUGGUUUUCUCUCUUCAAAGAAUGAUCAAGAUGUAAAUAUGACUAUUUCUCUGGGUCUGUUAUAGAACAGAACAAAUUCAGUUUGGAAUGUGCUACUUUUCACUUACAGAUCAAAAGCAGCCAACUAUGGUAGAAGUAGAAAAAUCUUUAGAAAUGUAUUCCUUCCCUUGAGAUUUUAUCCCCAUUGACUGUCACACAAGAGGCUAUUGAGCAAUAUCCACCAUAUUAUAACUCUGCUGUCUGUAAUUAACAGAGAUAAAUAUUUAAGUUAAAGAUUAAGGUAACUCAAACUUUUUUUCUUUUUAUAGAAUUAUAAUUUGGGCUUUAAAAAAAGGAAAGAAAGAAAACUUAAAGGCACUUCAUGUGAGAAAGACGAUGUAAUGGCAAACACAUGAUAACUGUAACCAUGAGCUCUGGGUUUUAAUUCCAGUUACACAAAUAAGCACUGGGUGCCUUGGAGACUAGUCACCUUGCCUGUGAAAUGGGGGUGAUACCUGCCUUGAGAUUAAAACAAUGCUUGUAAAACACUCGGCCCACUGCUUAGCUCACAGUAUUCACUCACUCACUCAGUCGUUCAUUCAACAAGAUCUUACAAUCUGUCUGGCAAUGUGCUAGGCCCUGAAAAUACAGCAGUGAAAUCAUAGACCCGGUUCCUGCUUUCACAGGCUUUAACAAUAUGCUAGAAAGGAAGUCAUUAAAAAUCACAGGAACAACAGCUUAAUAAAUAAAAUUAAUUCAGAAAAAAAAAAGUUCCUUUUCGCUUCUCCUCAUUUGUAAAAAGAGAAUACUUGCCCUUUCUAUUUCCACUUAUGAGAAUUAAAUUAAUGAACGAAUGGGAAUCCACUCCGAAAAUUCUAAAACCAAAAACCAGACCCACUGCCAUUAAGUCAAUUCCUACUCAUAACGACCCUGUAGGACAGAGCAGAACUGCCGCCUAGGGUUUCCGAGGCCGUGGGUCUUUAUGGGAUCAGACCGCCAUGUCUCCCUCUUGUGGAGCAGCUGGCGGUUUUGAACCACUGGCCUUCUGGUUAGCAGCCUAGUGCUUUAAUGACUGCACUGCCAGGUAUCCAGUGAAAAUUCUAAGGCUCUAUACAAAUGUCUGUUGCUAUAUUUGUACCAAAAAUUUAUCAAACAUGUGCUAUUUACAAGGCUCUCUGGAAAGUACAAAGAUAAACUACUGGGGGAAGGAAAGACAGCUGGGCAGGGUGAGGUCUAAUUCCAGGCAGAAAGUACUCAGGGGAAAGUGCUUGGCUAUUUGGAGGAAGCCAAGAUGGGCUCCAGUGAGGAGGGCCUCAGGGAAGACUUCAAGGAGCAGGUCCAUUUGAACCAGGUUUUGAAAAUUAGGGGCCAUUUGGACUUGAGGAAGUGAACCAUCUGUUCCUGUCAAACUGAUUCCAGCUCAGGGCGACCCCAUGUGUGUCGGAGUAGAACUGUGCUCCACAGGAUUUUCAGUGGCUGAUUUUUGGAAGCAGGUUAUCAAGCUUUUCUUCCAAAGCACAUCUGACGGACUGAGACCUCCACCCUUUGUUCAGCAGUUGGCCACAUUGACCAUUUGCACCUCCCGGGAACAGAAUAAGCAAAAGCACAGAAAUGGGAGAAUAAGAGACAACAAAGGAAGAGUGCGUGGUGCAUUUUGGCUAGACUGGAAGAGCCAUUAAGAGCAGCAGUUGGCAACAAGAGUUUGGACAAGUAGUUGGGAUCAGAUCCUAGGAGACCCUGAGUGCCAAGCUAAGGAUUAUGGCCUGUAUUUUGACAGAGAUGGGCCAUUAAUGGAAUUUGAGUAGGACAAUAAAAUGAUAUGAGCUGAGAGUCAGGAAAAGUCAUCUACAACUGUGUGUAGGAUGGAUUCUUGUGACUAUCGAUAUUAUUUUCCUGAAGGGUUUGGGGAGAAAGUUUGAACUUCUAUAUUUUAGCACUCUUGAAAUCCAGAGUCUGUAGUGAUCAGGGUUGGAGUGGUACUUAAUUUUAUUCGGUAGUUGUGCAACAUUUAGAAAACAAAGGUCCUUCUCCGAAUCAUAUGGAACUCAUAAUAUUAGUCUGAAGAACAUACUUCUUUGGCAAAAAUGAAGCACUCCCUGUAACUACCUCUUUCAUUUGUUUUAGCCCCAGUCACAUUAUCUAUAACCACAUAUUACAGAAAUAGGGGCGAGAGACACCAGGAGGUAAAAACAACUGCUUUACACCAAGCUACUAUGAUCACGAUCCUAAAAGGCGCACACCAGACUCUCUGCCUGCCUCAGACCCACACAGGGCUGUGACUUUAGCAUUCAGCAACGGCUUAUCAGAGCAGCUUAGUGAAGUGUCCUUGCUCCUGGAGUUCCCAUGGGCUUCACACACAGAACAGGCUGACCCUAACACUAUUGCCCUCCUAUAAGCCUCUCGGAGCCAGAACAGCUGUGGAAGAUGAGUGGUGUCUGGCUGGCCAAUCAACAAGCAGCUGACGGACGACAGACCCCAUUUGUGACUCUACACAGAUGAUAGAGGAAGCUGAGUUGCCCUGCCCUGCUGGGUUCAGAACUCUCGAUGGAAAGAGAAUAACAGAUGUUCAAUAAAAAGAAGAAAAAGCCAACUACGAACCCAAAACAUAAUUUGGCUCCACAAAUAACAUGCUGGUGGAUAUCUGGAGAAUCAGAGCCAUUUUUGCCAGCUCUCACAGGACAUCUGGAUGACAAACACAGAGGGAAAGGGUUACAUAUUUCUGAUCUCUGUCACAAUUCCGUGAUGAACUCCAAAGAGUGAGACACUGUCUUGGCAUGUCCCACAGAGAAGCUCUCUGGGCUCGCACGGGUUUGUUUAGAACCAGAGGCAAACAUGGGAAGGGGUUUCCUAGCCCCAGGCAAGGAGAACUCAUUAAGAAGGAGCAAGAUGGGGAGCUGAAGACAUUGUCCUCUUACCUCAUAUGAAGAUCAUCACAUUAAAGAAACAUACCUGCCAUGAAUUUACAGACAUAGACAUGGAGCCAUCCAGAUAAUCUUUUUAAAAACUCAAAGCCCACAAUUUAAAAUUCUCUGCAUUCAAAUAAGCAACUAACUCCAAGGGUUGGGCCCUCAAGGAUCCACUUAUUAUGUAAUAAAGAGAGGCAGCCAGGGGUUAAGCCCUUUCUCUCCCUGAUGAGCAAGUACGGGAAGAACUUCCACAGAGGAGAAUGCUGCCUCAAGGCUUGUCCUUCAAAAUCCUCACCUUGCUGCCUUGCCCAAAAGGCCAGGGUGUUUACGGCCAAUGUCUGAGGUCAUGAGUUACAGAAAUGGCAAGGAAAGUGCAAGAAAGUCCUUGACUAGCUGUUUGGAUGCUAAAGCUGGGCGUGGAUUUUAGUCUACGUUUGUGGCUGUGUGUUAUCUGAAACUGCCUCCAAAGACUUCCCAGUUCAACUACGAGAAGACAUAAAUCCACAGCUCAGUACCAGCAUUUACUGACCACCCAGCUCCCUCCCAGGCCGUUACUCUGUGAUUAGAAAAGGACCUAACUGGCUUCUGGUGAACUGGAGAGUAUGCUCAGAGCGCCCUUUCUCUGUGACUCCGUCAAGGAUAAGGUUAGAUUUAAUUUAAGAGCCCUAAAUGAUAUCUAUGAGGGUUGUAGGACUAGAAAUUGAUUCACAUAGGUACUCAUACUGAUGUGCUGAACCCCAAAAUGCCAGAGGUGGGUCAAGAGGCAGGAGCAGGGUUCAUGGAGUAGACAUCACAGGCAGAGCGGGGACUGACCUAGUUUAGGAGAAGAUACCUAAGUCUAGGUACUUUGAAGCCCCUGAAGAAUGACCCAUAGUUGCAUUCAAUGACUAACAUCCCCUGGGAUGCUUCCCACUUCCAUAAAAUGUUUCUGGUCUAAUUAAUUAACAGAAUUAUCUUAAAUUUCUAAAGAAGCUUCUGACACAAGAAGCUUAGACUUCUUCCCCUUAAAUUGACAUAUACCUGCUAUUUCGCUGUGGAUUUGUGUAGGGUGGGAAAGGUGAAAGAAUUUCUUAUUAUUUAUUAAUAACAUUAAGUUAUUACUUAUUAUAUUAAGACUAUACCUAUUAACAUGGUGCACCUAAUUUUGUAUGUAUGGUUUUAGAUUGUAUUAAAGAACUCCCUUUAAAAGUUUAAGAGAUCCCUACACUCAACAAUAAUUUAAUACUGGGAAAGAAAUAUUAACACUAAUUUAAUACUGGGAAAAGGCCACUAAAAUUAACCCAUUUAAACAGGUACUAAAGUCACAGGACAUAGUUUAAAGUAUAUUUGAAAAACUUAUCUUAAAAACUGAGGAAAAAUAUGAAAAUAAGUCUAUUUUAUAUUUAACAAAUGAAGUUGUAAUAGCAAAUAUGCACUAAAGUCUUAGGAUGCAGAAAGAGUGACUCAGCUGUUGAGUCCAGGGAGAAAAGCAUUUUCCAUCAAAAUUGCAGUACAGCGUGACAUGGUGCCCGUCACAUCACUGUUGGGCUAUCACAGCACAGUCCCAGCAAAGGUCACUUUUUAAAGCCUAAUUGCUGGCUUUUCAAUGGCUUCAUUGGUUUUCUGAAAGACUUAUUUUUUAAUUUGUUCAUAUCAGAAUACUUUUCACCCGAUGUACCAAUUAUUUCUUCAUUUUUGUGGUUUCUCCUUUGUCAAAUCCAUUUGUCUGUAUCUUGGUAUGUGAUUUCAGUGGUUCUUCACCGUC